rnacentral:lncRNA from 1 species
GUUGCCAGGAAAGUGGGGGAAACCCGGCAACCACAGGCCUCACCCGUCUCCCAUGCAGCCCAAAAGUCCAGUCUCACUCCCACCAUGUCCCCGCAAACAGCACUGAAUUUAUUUCCAGGCAACCAGUGAGCAAGGCUGAGAACUUGUCCCAGGUUACGAGACUCCCAGGGGUGAGACAAAAUGUGCCAUGAGUGAUGGCCUUUGGUGAUCUACAGACAUCCCUGGCUCUAGCAAUCAUUUGUGUAGGGAGGUACAGUCAUGUGCCGCAUAAUGACAUUCAGUCAAUGACAGACUGCAUAUAUGAGGUGGUCCUGUAAGGUGAUAAUGGAGCUGAAAAAUUCCUACUACUGAACGACAUCAUAGCCAUUGUAACAUCAUAGCACAACCAAUCACCUUUUCUAUAUUUAGGUACAACACUGAAGGCACCGCCCAUGAAAGAAACAACUGAUAGGCUGAACUCCAUUAAAAUUAAAAGCUUUUGCUCUGCAAAUACAAGAGAAUGAGAACACAAACCAUAAGGAGUUCAUAUGCUGGAAUGAUAGUGACACAGGAGUUUAACACUCCUACAGUAUCCAGAGCCUGGAUCCCUGAGUCAUCAGAUGGAGAAGAACUACUCAGGAGAGUCAUCCAACCUUCAUAGACAGUGGCAUGAGUGGGAAUUAAACAUUGAUUAUGUUAAGCCA